rnacentral:lncRNA from 1 species
GUUUUGAUUCCCCCUGCCCUGUUCAAGAGAUACUGGAAUACGAAAGGGUUCAGUGGAGGUUCACCAAGAGAACCUCAUGUAUAAAGGACAAAAGAAGAAAUUGGGUCUUCUCAACCUAGAGAAGAGAAGGGUUUGCUAAUUAGUUUGCCAUUUCCUAAAAUGUAAUCUCCUAAAAUGUAAUUAUGGGAAGAUGGUGCUCUUUUCACAAGUAUGUGGUGACAGGACAAAGGCAACAGACAAACUGUGCUGGGAAACCUUCAUACAAACAUAGGGAAAAAAUCUUGACCCUGAGAACCAAUUGGGUUAUGUUGCAUAUAGGUAGGAUCCUGGCUACUGUAAAUAAUUUGAGAUUCUGCUUGACAGGCAUUUGCAUUACCUGAUUUCUAAGUAACUAAAGUUGGAUCAGAUGAACUCCAGAGACCUCUCCCUACCUAAACUUUUCUCAUUCUACAGGAAAUUGAGGACUGAAGGAUUUGAACUUGUUGGAUUCCCCUCGAGUCUUUGUAAGAAAGAACCACCUUGUCAUUACUGGAAGAGGAGACAGAUAAAAAUCCAUGGUGUUGAUGCCCCCUUAAUGAAACAUUUUUCCAUACUGGAUCUCUGAACCUUUUGAAGGGAUAUUAAAGCCUUCUUGUCCCAAAGAGAGAGCUUUAUUCCUCCAUUUCCAGCACGGAUCUCUUCCAUCCUGAUAUGCAGGAUGGAAGUAUGCAUCCUGAUUUGUUCUGUUGAAGUAGCAGGGGACUUCAUCAUCCUCAUUCUGAAAUGUAUUGCACACAGUUUUUGUUUGGAUUUGCGGAAGAGGACCACGCACAAGGGCCCUCUUCCCACCAGGAUGCUUCAUAAGGAGCUUGCUGUAAUUGCAGCUCUUAUGUUUCCCUGAGAACAAAAGCUUUUAUCUUCUCUCCCAAAUAUUCUGUGAAUGAAUAAAUCUAGGACAAAUUUUCUCA